UCGGGAAUUUUGGGCAAUGGGCGAAAGCCUGACCCAGCAACGCCGCGUGAGGGAUGAAGUAUUUCGGUAUGUAAACCUCGAAAGAAUGGGAAGAAUAAAUGACGGUACCAUUUAUAAGCUCCGGCUAACUACGUGCCAGCAGCCGCGGUAAUACGUAGGGAGCAAGCGUUGUUCGGAUUUACUGGGCGUAAAGGGCGCGUAGGCGGCGCGGUAAGUCACUUGUGAAAGCUCUGAGCUUAACUCAGAACGGCCAAGUGAUACUGCUGGGCUAGAGUGCGGAAGAGGCAACCGGAAUUCUUGGUGUAGCGGUGAAAUGCGUAGAUAUCAAGAGGAACACCUGAGGCGAAGGCGGGUUGCUGGGCCGACACUGACGCUGAUGCGCGAAAGCCAGGG
rnacentral:rRNA from 1 species